rnacentral:rRNA from 1 species
AACGAACGCUGGCGGCAGGCUUAACACAUGCAAGUCGAGCGCCCCGCCAGGGGCGCGGACGUCGGGUGAGUAACCCGUGGGAACGUACCUUUUGGUUCGGAACAACUCCGGGAAACUGGAGCUCAUACCGAACAAGCCCUAACGGGGAAAGAGUUAUCGCAGAAAGAUCGGCCCUCGUCUGAUUAGCUAGUUGGUGAGGUAACGGCUCACGAAGGCGACGAUCAGUAGCUGGUCUGAGAGGAUGAUCAGCCACACUGGGACUGAGACACGGCCCAGACUCCUACGGGAGGCAGCAGUGGGGAAUAUUGGACAGUGGGCGCAAGCCUGAUCCAGCCAUGCCGCGUGAGUGAUGAAGGCCUUAGGGUUGUAAAGCUCUUUUGUCCGGGAAGAUAAUGACUGUACCGGAAGAAUAAGCCCCGGCUAACUUCGUG